AUUCCUUACUUGAACGGGAUCUGUUCUAUAGGAUCGUUCUACUGGUGUCCUUAAUUUCUAAGGAGACCAGAGCAUAAAUCUGGUGGAUGAAUCAUGACCAUGUGAUCAGAGCGUGAUUAACGGUUCUGCGAUGAGAACUUCGGUGAUCACCGUAAGCGACUGUAGAGGAUCGUUCUCAUCCUGCAAUGCUAAUAAGAUGAGUUGGUCACACUGGUUGUCUGACAGAUU